UACGAGGGGAGCAAGCGUUGUUCGGAUUUACUGGGCGUAAAGGGCACGUAGGCGGUCGUGACAAGUCACUUGUGAAAUCUCCGGGCUUAACUCGGAACGGUCAAGUGAUACUGUCGGACUAGAGUACAGAAGGGGCAACUGGAAUUCUCGGUGUAGCGGUGAAAUGCGUAGAUAUCAGGAGGAACACCGGUGGCGAAAGCGUUCUGCUAGACCUGUACUGACACUGAGGGACGAAAGCUAGGGGAGCGAAUGGG
rnacentral:rRNA from 1 species